rnacentral:lncRNA from 1 species
GCUCAAUUCAAAGAGGGUCCACAGGAACUGACUGCUGAGAGCCGUGGGACAGACAACACCCUACUCAGUUUUUGCACAUUCAAGCAAAAUGCUAUGUCCUUCCUGGAUGGACCAAGUCCCAUUUUUGCAGAGAACACUGACAAGUUGGGUCCCAUCCAGAAGAGAACAAGCAGUCUAGUGAGCGGUCUGGAAACCACAACUUGUGAGGAACAAUGGACAGAACUGAGGAUGUUUGCCUUGGAAAAGACACAUUCUAAGAAGAAUAUGAUAGCUUAAAAAAAUUACCAAGAGCUCCUUUAUAGAAGAGGGAUUAGAAAGAUUUGAUAUUGUUCUAGAGCAUGCAACCAGACCCGACCUAAAAGCCAAAUUGCCCAAAAGCAAACUUAAAUUGAAUUCUACUUUUAAAAGUAAAAACAUCUUGAGA